rnacentral:rRNA from 1 species
GACGAACGCUGGCGGCGUGCUUAACACAUGCAAGUCGAACGGAAAGGCCCUGCUUGCAGGGUACUCGAGUGGCGAACGGGUGAGUAACACGUGGGUGAUCUGCCCUGCACUUCGGGAUAAGCCUGGGAAACUGGGUCUAAUGCCGGAUAGGAGCCAUUUUUAGUGUGUUGGUUGGAAAGUUUUUUCGGUGUAGGAUGAGCUCGCGGCCUAUCAGCUUGUUGGUGGGGUAAUGGCCUACCAAGGCGGCGACGGGUAGCCGGCCUGAGAGGGUGGACGGCCACAUUGGGACUGAGAUACGGCCCAGACUCCUACGGGAGGCAGCAGUGGGGAAUAUUGCACAAUGGGCGCAAGCCUGAUGCAGCGACGCCGCGUGGGGGAUGACGGCCUUCGGGUUGUAAACUCCUUUCGCUAGGGACGAAGCUUUUUGUGACGGUACCUAGAUAAGAAGCACCGGCUAACUACGUG